rnacentral:rRNA from 1 species
CGGGAUAACACCUGGAAACAGAUGCUAAUACCGGAUAACAACAGAUGAUGCCUAUCAACUGUUUAAAAGAUGGUUCUGCUAUCACUCUUGGAUGGACCUGCGGUGCAUUAGCUAGUUGGUAGGGUAACGGCCUACCAAGGCGAUGAUGCAUAGCCGAGUUGAGAGACUGAUCGGCCACAUUGGGACUGANACACGGCCCAAACUCCUACGGGAGGCAGCAGCC